UUCGAUCCUCGGCUCAGAUUGAACGCCGGCAGAUCGCUACACAUGCAAGUCGAACGGCAGCACGGACUUCAGUCUGGUGGCGAGUGGCAAACGGGUGAGUAAUGUAUCGGAGCAUUUCAGCCAGCGGGGGAUAACUACGCUGAAAGCGGCAGCUGUACGCAUACGCCCUUCGGGGGAAAAGCGGGGGACCAUCGGCUCGCACUAUUAGAGCAGCCGAUAUCGGAUUAGCCAGACAGGGUAACGGCUCACCAAGGCGACGAUCCGUAGCUGGUUUGAGAGGACGACCAGCAGGACUGAGACACGGCCCAGACUCCUACGGGAGAGCAACAGUGGGAAUUUUGGACAAUGGGAAGCCUGGUCCGACCCAUCCCGCGUGUGCGAUGAAGGCCUUCGGAUUUGUAAAGCACGCGGCGGAAAGAAACUGGCCACGGAUAAUACCCCGUGCAACUGACGUACCUGCGGAAUACUUUCCAGCUAACUACGUGCCAGCAACCGCGAUAAUACGUAAGUGCAAGCGUUAAUCAGAUUACUGGGCGUCGAAAGCGUUAACGACUGGUUCGAAGAAAGAUGUGAAAUCCCAGAGCUUAACUUUGGAACUGCAUUUUUAACUACCGAGCUAGAGUGUGUCAGAGGGAGGUGGAAUUCCGCGUGUAGCAGUGAAAUGCGUAGAUAUGCGGAGGAGACACCGAUGGCGAAGGCAGCAGCCUCCUGGGAUAACACUGACGCUCAUGCACGAAGCGUGGGGAGCAAACAGGAUUAAAUACCUGGUAGUCCACGCCCUAAACGAUGUCGCUAUUCUAUUGAGACCUUCGGGCCUUGGUAACAGCUAACGCGUGAGGUUGACCGCUGGGGGUACGGUCGCAAGAUUAAAACUCAAAGGAAUUGACGGGGACCCGCACAAGCGGUGGAUGAUGUGGAUUAAUUCGAUGCAACGCAAAACCUUACCUACCCUUGACAUGUCUGGAAUCCCGAAGAGAUUUGGGAGUGCUCGCAAGAGAACCGGAACACAGGUGCUGCAUGGCUGUCGUCAGCUCGUGUCGUGAGAUGUUGGGUUAAGUCCCGCAACGAGCGCAGCCCUUGUGUUGAGUUGCUACGAGGGCACUCUAAUGAGACUGCCGAAGUGACGACGGAGGAAGGUGGAGGAUGACGUCAAGUCCUCUGACUGCCCUUAUGGGUAGGGCUUCACACGUCAUACAAUGGUCGGGACAGGAAGGGGUCGCCAACCCGCGAGGGGAGCCAAUCCCAGAAACCCGAUCGUAGACCGGAUCGCAGUCUGCAACUCGACUGCGUGAAGUCGGAAUCGCUAGUAAUCGCGGAUCAACAUGUCGCGGUGAAUACGUUCCCGGGUCUUGUACACACCGCCCGUCACACCAUGGGAAUUGGGUUUUACCAGAAGUAGUUACUAUUCUAACCAGCAAGGAGAGGCGAUUACCACGAUAGGAUUCAUGACUGGGGUGAAGUCGUAACAAGGUAACCCUGUUACUGUUGCUCCGG
rnacentral:rRNA from 1 species